GGCAUGCAAGUCGAACGGAAUGCUAUUUAGCUUGCUAGAUAGUGUUUAGUGGCGGAAGGGUUAGUAAUACAUGGAUAACUUACCUGUAACUUUGGGAUAACGGGCGGAAACGUUCGCUAAUACCAAAUGUGGUGGAUGAGCGAAAGCUUGCUUAUUAAAGCGGGGGACUUUCGGGCCUCGUGGUUAGAGAUAGGUCCAUGGGAUAUCAGCUUGUUGGUGUGGUAAAGGCGCACCAAGGCUAAGACGUCUAGGCGGGUUGAGAGAUUGACCGCCAACACUGGGACUGAGACACUGCCCAGACUCCUACGGGAGGCUGCAGUCGAGAAUCUUUCGCAAUGGGGGAAACCCUGACGAAGCGACGCCGUGUGAACGAUGAAGGCUUUCGGGUCGUAAAGUUCUUUCGCUAGGGAACAAGAAAGACUGACCAAUAAUCAGUCAAUUUGAGGGUACCUGGUAAAGAAGCACCGGCUAACUCCGUGCCAGCAGCUGCGGUAAUACGGAGGGUGCAAGCAUUAAUCGGAAUUAUUGGGCGUAAAGGGCGUGUAGGCGGGAGUGUAAGUCAGACGUGAAAUGCCGGAGCUCAACUCCGGAACGGCGUUUGAAACUACAUUUCUUGAGGA
rnacentral:rRNA from 1 species